ensembl:lncRNA
GCUGGUUAUGGGUGGUGAGUGGGUGGUGAGGGGUGGUGAGAGGGUGGUGAGUGGCUGGUGAGUGGGUUGUGAGUGGGUGGUGGGUGGCUGGUGAUGGGUGGUGAGUGGGUGGUGAAGGCUGGUGAGUGGGUGGUGAAUGGCUGAUGAUGGGUGGUGAGUGGGUGGUGAAGGCUGGUUAGUGGGUGGUCAAUGGCUGGUGAUGGGUGGUGAGUGGGUGGUGAUGGGUGGUGAGAGGGUGGUGAGUGGCUGGUGAGUGGGUGGUGAGUGGGUGGUGAUGGGUGGUGAGAGGGUGGUGAGUGGCUGGUGAGUGGGUGGUGAGUGGCUGGUGAUGGGUGGUGAGUGGGUGGUAGGAGGGUGAUGAGUGGGUGGUGAAAGGGUGGUGAGUGGGUGGUGAGAGGGUGGUGAUGGGUGGUGGUAGGUGGUGAGUGGGUGAUGAGUGGAGGGUGGUGAGUGGGUGGUGAGUUGCUGGUGAGUGGGUGGUCAACGGCUGGUUAUGGGUGGUGAGUGGGUGUUGAGGGGUGGUGAGAGGGUGGUGAGUGGCUGGUGAGUGGGUUGUGAGUGGGUGGUGGGUGGCUGGUGAUGGGUGGUGAGUGGGUGGUGAAGGCUGUGAGUGGGUGGUGAGUGGGUGGUGAUGGGUGGUGAGAGGGUGGUGAGUGGCUGGUGAGUGGGUGGUGAGUGGCUGGUGAUGGGUGGUGAGUGGGUGGUGGGGUGAUGAGUGGGUGGUGAAAGGGUGGUGGUGGGUGGUGAGAGGGUGGUGAGUGGGGUGAGUGGGGGUGAAUAG